GAUGAACGCUGGCGGCGUGCCUAAUACAUGCAAGUCGAGCGAACAGACGAGGAGCUUGCUCCUCUGACGUUAGCGGCGGACGGGUGAGUAACACGUGGAUAACCUACCUAUAAGACUGGGAUAACUUCGGGAAACCGGAUCUAAUACCGGAUAAUAUAUUGAACCGCAUGGUUCAAUAGUGAAAGACGGUUUUGCUGUCACUUAUAGAGGGAUCCGCGCCGCAUUAGCUAGUUGGUAAGGUAACGGCUUACCAAGGCGACGAUGCGUAGCCGACCUGAGAGGGUGAUCAGCCACACUGGAACUGAGACACGGUCCAGACUCCUACGGGAGGCAGCAGUAGGGAAUCUUCGGCAAUGGGCGAAAGCCUGACGGAGCAACGCCGCGUGAGUGAUGAAGGUCUUCGGAUCGUAAAACUCUGUUAUUAGGGAAGAACAAAUGUGUAAGUAACUAUGCACGUCUUGACGGUACCUAAUCAGAAAGCCACGGCUAACUACGUG
rnacentral:rRNA from 1 species